rnacentral:rRNA from 1 species
UACGUAGGGCGCAAGCGUUGUCCGGAAUUAUUGGGCGUAAAGAGCUCGUAGGCGGCCUGUUACGUCUGCUGUGAAAUCCCGGGGCUUAACCCCGGGCGUGCAGUGGAUACGGGCAGGCUGGAGGCAGGCAGGGGAGAACGGAAUUCCCGGUGGUAGCGGUGGAAAUGCGCAGAUAUCGGGAGGAACACCGGUGGCGAAGGCGGUUCUCUGGGCCUGUACUGA